GACGAACGCUGGCGGCGUGCUUAACACAUGCAAGUCGAACGGAAAGGCCCUGCCUUUGUGGGGUGCUCGAGUGGCGAACGGGUGAGCAACACGUGAGUAACCUGUCCCUGAUUUUGGGAUAACUUCAGGAAACUGGGGCUAAUACCGCAUAGGAGCUCCUGCCGCAUGGUGGGGGUUGGUAAGUUUCGGCGGUUGGGGAUGGACUCGCGGCUCAUCCGCUUGUUGCUUGGGUAGUGUCUGAGCAUGGCCUUGACAGGUAGCCGGCCUGGGAGGGUGACCGGCCACAUUAGAACUGGAAUGCGGCCCAGACUACUACCGGACGCAGCGGUGGAGAAUGUUGCACUAUGGGCGGAAGCCUAGUGCGGCAACGCAGCGUGCGGGAUGACAGCCUUCGGGUUGUGAACCACUUUCGCCUGUGACGAGGCGUGAAUGACGGUAAUGGGUGAAGAAGCACCGGCUAACUACGUG
rnacentral:rRNA from 1 species